UACGGACGGGGCAAGCGUUGCUCGGAAUCAUUGGGCGUAAAGGGCGCGUAGGUGGUUCUGUAUGUCUACCGUGAAAGCGUACGGCUCAACUGUAUUUUGUCGGUAGAAACUGCAGGACUUGAGGCUGGGAGGGGCUGGUGGAAUUCCCUGUGUAGCGGUGAAAUGCGUAGAGAUGGGGGAGAACACUCGUGGCGAAGGCGGCCAGCUAGACCAGUUCUGACACUGAGGCGCGACAGCGUGGGGAGCAAACAGG
rnacentral:rRNA from 1 species